UACUAUGCUAAACUGCUGUUUAAUGGG
rnacentral:sRNA from 1 species